rnacentral:rRNA from 1 species
CAGCCGCCGCGGGAAUACGUAGGGUGCAAGCGUUAAUCGGAAUUACUGGGCGUAAAGCGCGCGCAGGCGGAUCAGUCAGUCUGUCUUAAAAGUUCGGGGCUUAACCCCGUGAUGGGAUGGAAACUGCUGAUCUAGAGUAUCGGAGAGGAAAGUGGAAUUCCUAGUGUAGCGGUGAAAUGCGUAGAUAUUAGGAAGAACACCAGUGGCGAAGGCGACUUUCUGGACGAAAACUGACGCUGAGGCGCGAAAGCCAGGGGAGCGAACGGGAUUAGAUACCCCAGUAGUCCCUGUCUCUUAUACA